GAUGAAGGGGAACAGGUUUUGCUCACCUGUCUAUAUAAAUUGCCUGUCACGACACGACGGUAUACGGCAAAUUGUACGUCGGCAGGUAUCACCAACUGCACACUGAGGUAUCACCAACUACACACUGAGGUAUCACCAACUACCCACUGAGGUAUCACCAACUACACACUGAGGUAUCACCAACUACUCACUGAAGUAUAACCAACUAUCUACUGAAGUAUCACCAACUAUCUACUGAGGUAUCACCAACUGCACACUGAGGUAUCACCAACUGCACACUGAGGUAUCACCAACUGCACACUGAGGUAUCACCAACUGCACACUGAGGUAUCACCAACUGCACACUGAGGUAUCACCAACUGCACACUGAGGUAUCACCAACUAUCUACUGAGGUAUCACCAACUACAUACUGAGGUAUCACCAACUACAUACUGAGGUAUCACCAACUGCACACUGAGGUAUCACCAACUGCACACUGAGGUAUCACCAACUGCACACUGAGGUAUCACCAACUGCACACUGAGGUAUCACCAACUGCACACAGAGGUAUCACCAACUACACACUGAGGUAUCACCAACUGCACACUGAGGUAUCACCAACUGCGGUCUAAUCUCUCACCACCUGCAGACCUGCCCACCAUGGCUAAGCUACAAUACACCUUGGUUCUAGGUCUGACUCUGUUGAUAAUCUCCACCCUAAGCGCACCAGAGAAUUUGGUCAGGAAAAAAAGAUUGACGGACUGCAGCCAAACGAAAUGUGUUCGACCUCCAAACAAACCUGAUGACGUCACCCCGCCCAGCGAACCAAAACCGGAAGUACAGACUACAUUUAGAGCCAACCCUGCUACUACACCGCCUGAGAAAUGAAGAGUUUUCGACAAAAACAGAUUGCCAAGAAAAAAUACCGAUUCUUA